UGUGCGCGUGCAUGUGUGUGUGUGACUCUGGAUCUGUUCUUUAUUUCUGUUUAAGGACUUAACACCACAAAAUAUGACAUCUUGUGAGAAUGUGAGGAGAAAAAGCCCUGCGCAGUUGUGCCUGAGACUAAAUAUUGUUCUAAGCCGAAGCCGAUGGCAGAUGAUAAGUAAUUACUGGAGUCCUCUGUCUCUGAGGAGAGGGAGUCUGGGAAACUUUGCCUUGGGUGUCAAAACUAUUUUGUUUUAGAACUCCAAUUAGUAAAGAGAGAGUGUGAUCUACGGUGUAGUAUAGGCGAGUGUUUAAUUAUUUUUUAUCUUGAACCCACUUCAUAUGAUUUGUGUAUUUUCCAGAUGAGGAACAAUGGAUAGGAGGAAAAACGGAAAGCACACCAAAGCAGGUCUGGAACCUAACGUACGAUUUGAACUGAACUCACCUCAACUGAAAUCAGACAUAUUGCACUGAUAUGACAUUCAAUCAAGCACAAAACACUUUUGGCAGCGGCGCUCUGUGCUCCGAGCUUUUGCCGUUUGCAUUCUCAUUUCAUCCUCCCUCCAUCUCUUCCCCCACUUCCCUACAUUUCAUUUCCUUACGCUUCAGAGAGAGAGCGAGAGAGAGACAGAGAAAGAAAGAGAGAGAGAAAGACUCAGAGACUCAUGCAAGCAUCCUGCCCAGAGUGUUUUUCAGCUCAUUUUCAAAUGGUAAUUUGCCUUAUCCGAAGCAAACUCGUCGAGUGUAAGUAAGUGAUUAUUUGCAUGGCUGGCAAUCACUCGGCAUGCCUGCGGUCUUUCUCCAAAUGCUCAGAUAUGUCCACUCUUUGAAAGGCAGAAAACGCCGUGAGCGACUGCGGGCGGAAAUGCGAGGUGUUUUUUUUUUUUUUUUUUUUUAAAUGCUCGCUUCUUUGAAGUUUGUGACUGUUCACAUGUAUAAAACACAAACUUUCAAAUUGUAUGGACUACCUUCAACCUCUACGAAUCUAUUUUAUAUUUCUCUGUGUAAUAAUACAAAAUAACUGAGUUGAACAGAGAACAUUAGCUGUAUAUAUUUGUUUGGAAUAUUUUAUUUGGAAUUUAUUUUAUACACAAUUCUCUAUAGAAGAUAUAAGGAAGAAAACACUUCAAGGAAAUAAUCAAUCACUGACUGGAUGGUGUGAGGUGAAGUGUGUUACUCUUACCACCUCAAAGUUCAUUAUUUACCACAGUGUAAUUUUUAUCCAUUUAUAGUUACUUUUAUAAGUUAUUUACAUUAUAGAAGUUAUUCCUUAAUCAGCCUCGCUUUUCUCUGUCUUGAAGACAAAAAAAAAUUGCACGUUUUCGUGUUACUGAGAAUUUGCAAAAUUGUUUUUUUUGUAUUUCUCCAAUGUAGAAACCUGACUGGCUGUUCCAGGAAGAAGUGCUGACACUGGAGACCCCUUUUGUACAUUAUACAUUUGAAAUCAAUGUCUUUUUACAGAAGACUUCUCUAUAUAAAUGAAAUCACGUUUUUCUUUCUUAAAUAGUUUUUUUUUAUGGGUUGUUUACAUGAAGCUUUUGCCAUACAAGUCCCUGGGAAAAGUUUCUAUAGAAAUGAUAAAGUUUUAGAAGUUUUACGUAGUGUAGUAGUUUUAUAGUAGUGUUCUAAAAAUUGAAUUCGACAGCGCUGUGGUUUAAAGAGAAGUAUUAUUAUGCGAGGUUAUUUUAAAUGGAUGGUGGUAUCAUGCAACAAACUCCUGUCUCGAGCUUCACAUUUAAUUACAUGCAUUUUUAGAGUAGGCAUUAACUAAACCAAAUAUUCAUUUACUAUCUGCCGCGUUUCAAAGAUUUCAAGGUCUAAACCAAAUUUGCAUUGAUGGAUGAUAUAAUCAAUGAAAGGCUUAAACUGAAUUAAAGCAACACCACAAUUAGCUUUGGUCUUCUGCAUGUCACAAAGGGUCUUUCGAGCAGAAUAAAACACCGAAUGUCCCUCAGCUGUGACACGGCCAUUUAUCAAUCAGCAUCGGCCACAUUGACAAGUGCUAAUUUAAUAGAGACUGCCCCGGCUGGCAGGAAGCCGCACUGACACACAAUGCAAACUCAUUUAUCACUAUAGAGCCUCGUGGCACUGCAUCUCACCCUCCCUCUAGCCGUCUCAUUCACUUUUCCUACGGAUCGGGACCUGGGGUCACUCCACCAUGCAGCGCCGCUUGACGUUUUUGCAGGUGCUGCUUUUUUCCUGACAAGGCCCGUCUUUUAUCUUUGCAUCUGCAGGAAAACACUGGAGGUUCAUUAUGCUAUAGCGGAAGGGGUAUGGUGCCGACAUGGUGUAAUUUAGGUGCACAAAGCCGAACCGCUCUGUGCGUCUCUCUCUCUCUCUCUCUCUCUCUCUCUCUCUGUCUAUUACACACUCUUUCUUUCUGUAAAAUUCUGAGCAACGCAGGCAUGCGGUAGAAAAAGCUCCGCUAAUGUAAUCACAUAUGAACCGCAGCUGCUCAGGAAACCAGCACUUUGAAUGACUGGGUGGCUUUGAAUCUGACACAUCUCUUAAAAAAAGUUGCAGAAACGGAGGCCGUUGUAAACACAGGGUCGUGAUGAACCUCUGUGUGAUUGUCAGAAGGGAACUGGAGAAGCUUUGAUCAUGGACACUCACAGAGCAAGGGAGUCAAAAGAAUUGCCAGAGGCACUUCAGAAUUGAGACAGAACCAAAAAAAAAAAACCCAGCAUGAAUGAUGUGAAUGAGAAAACACAGGCCUGAUUUCCCCAAACCUUCAGCAGAUCGUCUCUCAGAGGAAAAGCAGCAAAGUCUGCUACCUUCAUUUCAGGCCCGACAUCAAGCAUGAGCUUCGCAUUAAACUGAGCUGAACUCAGGAACGUGCCUGGAACUGAAGCGAAUCCCCUCAGCAUGGUAGGCGCAGAGGUACACCAAGGUACCAUUGUGAAUGUGAUAUUCGUUUUGAGUUGAAUAAUUCAGCAAACGCAGAAUGAAGGAACACCUCUGGGUUUUGUGCAUGCUGCUAAAGACAAGGAGGUGGCUGAUAACGAGGAGGAGAUACAAAGGAAAGAGAAAGCGGAAUGAGAGCUGCCAGACUGAGCUGAAGUUUUUGUUUUGAGUGUAGGAGUGUUUUGAAACAAUAAUUCGGUCAAAAACAAAAUGUACACAAUUUCCCCUCAUACCAUAACUGGAAUCAAUGAGCCAAGACACUGCUUAUCUUGAAUUCAAAUUCAGCCAUAUUGCAUUAUGAGGAUUUUUUUUAGGCAUGGUGCUAUUAAUCAGUCCGUACACGAAUUCUGAGUUUUUUUUUUCUAAUAGUUACAGCCAAAAAUCCUUGAUUUUGCUGUGGUAUUUUUUAUUUUUUUUUCAAAAUUUGCGAUGCAAUUUGCAGAGAUUUUUGUGCUUUUUUGUGUGAAAACUACUUAAAUUGCAAUUGCACAAAAUUGUUUUGCAUUGUCUUUCGCAGUUAUGUUUGUUGCUGAAUGAGACCUUUUAGCUGUACUUAUGUUCAACGCACAUGAAUUGAAGAGAGAUUUGGCUGAAUGUGCAUUGUGAUGACGUCUUAGUCUAAAAUUGCAGAAAAUCUGUGAUCAUUUUGAAAAAUUGGAAACUCCUCCAAAUAUUGCGGAACUUGCUUGAUUUUAAAUGUCUGAGAUCGCAAAAUUGCGAAAUCUUGGAGGGACUGAUUAAUUAAUGCACAGUGUCACAUACAUGUUAUUUAAUAUUGGCCUCAAAUGUCAUUCUAUAGGUUUUUUUCCCAGCCAAUACUGGAACUGGAGGCCUCCCUCAAUUUUGACUCAUCUCUUCAUUGAUUAUCUGAAAUCUAAACUUUGCACACUAACUUUGUCUUCUCUCAGUGACUACACAUAUUAAAAAGGAAAUUAAGAAAUAAAUUUACAGAAUAAGGAAGAAAUGUUCCUUUUUACUGACCAAUUCUUAUACGAAUCAAUAAAAUACCAAUGAAAUUUGAACCUACAUUCACCAGAGUUACACUCUAAAAAAUGCUGGGUUGAGUUUUUUGGGUCAUUUAAUUGGAUUAAUUUUCUUGGGUAGUUUUGGGUAACUGUUUGAAUAUGCCUCAGGUGGAGGUAGCAGUCACACGGAUAGACUGUUUGAUUUAUUUGGAGAAACACACUCAGAAAGCAUGUGUUAACAUCCUACACACUUUUUGUGAUAUUACUUUUUCAACACAUGUUGUGUUAUCCAAUAAAUGUGUUAAAAAAAGAAAGUGACUAAAGAGUGACCAACACAACAUUUGUUAAAUUAUUGUCCAAUCAUGUUGCAGACUGUGCUGCCACCAUCAUCAUUCAAAUCUUAACUCGCCUCAAAGUGAAAGUUUGUUGCUUUGACCUUUUGAUUGUGACUGCAGAGUCGGAGUCCUGAGGCAAGGAAACCAAAUGACCACAGCAUAUCAAAUGGAAGGGAGUGGGACUCUUGUCUUCCUAGAUGGCAGAGAGAUCUUAUCUCUCUCACAGCUUCAGAGAGUCAUCUCACAGUUCCUGAGGCGGCGAAGGAUCCGUGUAAAUUUACCGUGAAGGCUCUUAGAAGUGCUAUUCAAGAGGGAGAUUUCCUUUAAAGCUCUCAUUUAAAACCUUCAGAAGACAAAAAAAAAAAAGUGCUCUUUCCUCACGAGGCCCAACAUCCAUUUUCCCAUUUCUGCUCACGAUCCUCAAAUGCUCGCCGGUACCUUUUUCAAAAUUGUGAAUUAAGUGACUUAAAUUGUUUGUCUUACUCUACUGUCAGUUAUCGGAUGAAAUCUGAGUGUCCAUCUCACCCAAUUUGUUUUGCGACUCAUACGUAACUAUUACAAAAGGUGCAAACAUUCACUGAUUCUCAGGAAGGCAACACUACAUUAAGAGUCAGGGGGAUGUAAACUUUUGAACAGGAUUAUUUUGUUUAAAGAUCUUAUGUUUUAAUGUAGUACUGCCCAGCAGAAACUACAUAAGAUAUUUACAUGUUUCCCAGAAUACAGUAUAUUAACAAUUUACACUGAUUAUUCUGUUCAAAAUUAUACACCUCCCACCCCCUGACUGUAUCAUGUUACCUUCUUCAACAUCAGUGAAUGUUUACACUGGAAUGAUACCAAACUAAGGGAAAGGAAAUUUUAAAAAAAGUGACUCUAUUUGUCCAAAUGAUUUUUAUUUAUUUUUUUUUCUCCAGUAACCAGUAUUUUUUAAUAAAAAUAAAAUUGCAUUCUAUUGAUUGUUAGUUUUGGCUGGGUGACUUUAAAAAUGUGAUUUACAUUUUUCCUGUCCAUUUGUUUUUUUUUUUUGGCUGUCUGUGAAUGUAUUCACAUAGGUGUGUGUGUAUGUGUGUGAGACAGUGUGCGUUCUGCCCUUUCCUCUUGCCCUUGUCAUGCUGUCGGUGCUACAUGCCCCUCUCUGUACUCUCAGGUCAGGAUUGGACUGUGCCACUGUCUGUCAAACUCCCACCCGCCCUGUCACACACAGCGCUCCCAAUCCCACCAUUCCAUUUGACCUCCUGUCUCUUGUUCUCAGCUGGGAGCAAUGAUCUUUGGUUUAAAAAAGUUCCUCAUUCCCUUGAAAAAAGCUGUAUACACCGCGAAGUGCUACUUUAAAUCUACAGGCAAGAACAGUUCUUCUGAUCUUUAUCUAUCCUGAUGGGCCUGUUCUCUUCCAGGAUGACCCCACCCCCAUCAACACGACAAAUUCAGUGAAUAGUUUAAAAUGGUAUAGAUAAUUGGUAUAAAUGAUACUGUAUGGCCUUCAUACUCACCAGAUCUCAACACAAUCGCACACUUUUUUGGAGCUUCUGGAGCAAUAUGAUUGACAGCAACAGCACUCUCCACCACCAUCACUAACCCUAACUGAGGGAGUCUUGGAUUUAAAUCUGAUUUAAUUUAAUUGGACUUGUCUGUGACUCCUAACUUGCCUUUUCACUUUUUCACAAUUUCUACUGACCAUGUGAUGUGACAGACUGAAGUCCCAUCCAUGGUGUAUUCCUGCCUCAUGCCCAGGGUCCCUGAGAUCCAGGAUAAAACAUUUGCUGAAGAUGAACAGAUGAAUCAAUUUUACUGGCUUUUGUGUGUGUGUAAAUAUACCGUCUUGCCCAUUCCAUUGUGAUCCUAGAGGCACAAAAUUUCA